rnacentral:rRNA from 1 species
GAUGAACGCUGGCGGUAUGCUUAACACAUGCAAGUCGAACGGACUCUUCGGAGUUAGUGGCGGACGGGUGAGUAACGCGUGAGAAUCUGGCUUUGGGUUCGGGACAACCACUGGAAACGGUGGCUAAUACCGGAUGUGCCGAGAGGUAAAAGAGAAAUUGCCUGAAGAUGAGCUCGCGUCUGAUUAGCUAGUUGGUGAGGUAAAGGCUCACCAAGGCAGCGAUCAGUAGCUGGUCUGAGAGGAUGACCAGCCACACUGGGACUGAGACACGGCCCAGACUCCUACGGGAGGCAGCAGGGGGGAAUUUUCCGCAAUGGGCGAAAGCCUGACGGAGCAAUACCGCGUGAGGGAAGAAGGCUCUUGGGUUGUAAACCUCUUUUCUUAGGGAAGAACAAAAUGACGGUACCUAAGGAAUCAGCAUCGGCUAACUCCGUG